rnacentral:lncRNA from 1 species
CAGUUUGAGUGUUAGGUGGGAUUGCAUCUGAAUUACAAGAUGAGUAUGUAUUAAUAAUCAUUACUUGGAAGUUUGUGACCAGCAUAUUAUACCGGACUCACACAAUCUUGAUCUUAUAGCCACGAGAUAUAAAUUCAUUCCAUUAGUAGCUGCAUAUUAAUACUGAAAUAUUUCUACUGCUAGCAACUUGGUGCUGAUUCCUCUAGUUGUCCAUUGUCCUCAUAUUUUUUUCUCCUAACAAAUAACAAGACCUAUUUGCCUUUCUUGUAUAAGGCAAAGCUUGCUAUGCACAGCCUGUUCUAGUCAUGUAAGAAACUGGUUUUCAGUAACCAGGUGCAUUUUAGAUAUGUUGCUUUUUUUCUAUUAAGAUAAUUAGUAUUUCAGUCUUCAUUAGUGAAUGAUCUCAAAUUUAUUUAUGUUAUAGCUUGAUUGAAUAGCUGUGCGAUUGUUGAGGAUGCAAAUGUUAUUGCAGCAGGACGAAACUGGCGUAAUGAGACUUGAAAUGUAUGUUUAUCAUUGCUUCUCCAGCCCCUUCUAUAAAUUUUGGCCAAUGGCACUUUGUUGUU